rnacentral:rRNA from 1 species
UUAAGCGACUAAGCGUACACGGUGGAUGCCCUGGCAGUCAGAGGCGAUGAAGGACGUGCUAAUCUGCGAUAAGCGUCGGUAAGGUGAUAUGAACCGUUAUAACCGGCGAUUUCCGAAUGGGGAAACCCAGUGUGAUUCGUCACACUAUCAUUAACUGAAUCCAUAGGUUAAUGAGGCGAACCGGGGGAACUGAAACAUCUAAGUACCCCGAGGAAAAGAAAUCAACCGAGAUUCCCCCAGUAGCGGCGAGCGAACGGGGAGCAGCCCAGAGCCUGAAUCAGUGUGUGUGUUAGUGGAAGCGUCUGGAAAGGCGCGCGAUACAGGGUGACAGCCCCGUACACAAAAAUGCACAUGCUGUGAGCUCGAUGAGUAGGGCGGGACACGUGGUAUCCUGUCUGAAUAUGGGGGGACCAUCCUCCAAGGCUAAAUACUCCUGACUGACCGAUAGUGAACCAGUACCGUGAGGGAAAGGCGAAAAGAACCCCGGCGAGGGGAGUGAAAAAGAACCUGAAACCGUGUACGUACAAGCAGUGGGAGCACGCUUAGGCGUGUGACUGCGUACCUUUUGUAUAAUGGGUCAGCGACUUAUAUUCUGUAGCAAGGUUAACCGAAUAGGGGAGCCGAAGGGAAACCGAGUCUUAACUGGGCGUUAAGUUGCAGGGUAUAGACCCGAAACCCGGUGAUCUAGCCAUGGGCAGGUUGAAGGUUGGGUAACACUAACUGGAGGACCGAACCGACUAAUGUUGAAAAAUUAGCGGAUGACUUGUGGCUGGGGGUGAAAGGCCAAUCAAACCGGGAGAUAGCUGGUUCUCCCCGAAAGCUAUUUAGGUAGCGCCUCGUGAAUUCAUCUCCGGGGGUAGAGCACUGUUUCGGCAAGGGGGUCAUCCCGACUUACCAACCCGAUGCAAACUGCGAAUACCGGAGAAUGUUAUCACGGGAGACACACGGCGGGUGCUAACGUCCGUCGUGAAGAGGGAAACAACCCAGACCGCCAGCUAAGGUCCCAAAGUCAUGGUUAAGUGGGAAACGAUGUGGGAAGGCCCAGACAGCCAGGAUGUUGGCUUAGAAGCAGCCAUCAUUUAAAGAAAGCGUAAUAGCUCACUGGUCGAGUCGGCCUGCGCGGAAGAUGUAACGGGGCUAAACCAUGCACCGAAGCUGCGGCAGCGACGCUUAUGCGUUGUUGGGUAGGGGAGCGUUCUGUAAGCCUGUGAAGGUGUACUGUGAGGUAUGCUGGAGGUAUCAGAAGUGCGAAUGCUGACAUAAGUAACGAUAAAGCGGGUGAAAAGCCCGCUCGCCGGAAGACCAAGGGUUCCUGUCCAACGUUAAUCGGGGCAGGGUGAGUCGACCCCUAAGGCGAGGCCGAAAGGCGUAGUCGAUGGGAAACAGGUUAAUAUUCCUGUACUUGGUGUUACUGCGAAGGGGGGACGGAGAAGGCUAUGUUGGCCGGGCGACGGUUGUCCCGGUUUAAGCGUGUAGGCUGGUUUUCCAGGCAAAUCCGGAAAAUCAAGGCUGAGGCGUGAUGACGAGGCACUACGGUGCUGAAGCAACAAAUGCCCUGCUUCCAGGAAAAGCCUCUAAGCAUCAGGUAACAUCAAAUCGUACCCCAAACCGACACAGGUGGUCAGGUAGAGAAUACCAAGGCGCUUGAGAGAACUCGGGUGAAGGAACUAGGCAAAAUGGUGCCGUAACUUCGGGAGAAGGCACGCUGAUAUGUAGGUGAAGUCCCUCGCGGAUGGAGCUGAAAUCAGUCGAAGAUACCAGCUGGCUGCAACUGUUUAUUAAAAACACAGCACUGUGCAAACACGAAAGUGGACGUAUACGGUGUGACGCCUGCCCGGUGCCGGAAGGUUAAUUGAUGGGGUCAGCGCAAGCGAAGCUCUUGAUCGAAGCCCCGGUAAACGGCGGCCGUAACUAUAACGGUCCUAAGGUAGCGAAAUUCCUUGUCGGGUAAGUUCCGACCUGCACGAAUGGCGUAAUGAUGGCCAGGCUGUCUCCACCCGAGACUCAGUGAAAUUGAACUCGCUGUGAAGAUGCAGUGUACCCGCGGCAAGACGGAAAGACCCCGUGAACCUUUACUAUAGCUUGACACUGAACAUUGAGCCUUGAUGUGUAGGAUAGGUGGGAGGCUUUGAAGUGUGGACGCCAGUCUGCAUGGAGCCGACCUUGAAAUACCACCCUUUAAUGUUUGAUGUUCUAACGUUGACCCGUGAUCCGGGUUGCGGACAGUGUCUGGUGGGUAGUUUGACUGGGGCGGUCUCCUCCUAAAGAGUAACGGAGGAGCACGAAGGUUGGCUAAUCCUGGUCGGACAUCAGGAGGUUAGUGCAAUGGCAUAAGCCAGCUUGACUGCGAGCGUGACGGCGCGAGCAGGUGCGAAAGCAGGUCAUAGUGAUCCGGUGGUUCUGAAUGGAAGGGCCAUCGCUCAACGGAUAAAAGGUACUCCGGGGAUAACAGGCUGAUACCGCCCAAGAGUUCAUAUCGACGGCGGUGUUUGGCACCUCGAUGUCGGCUCAUCACAUCCUGGGGCUGAAGUAGGUCCCAAGGGUAUGGCUGUUCGCCAUUUAAAGUGGUACGCGAGCUGGGUUUAGAACGUCGUGAGACAGUUCGGUCCCUAUCUGCCGUGGGCGCUGGAGAACUGAGGGGGGCUGCUCCUAGUACGAGAGGACCGGAGUGGACGCAUCACUGGUGUUCGGGUUGUCAUGCCAAUGGCACUGCCCGGUAGCUAAAUGCGGAAGAGAUAAGUGCUGAAAGCAUCUAAGCACGAAACUUGCCCCGAGAUGAGUUCUCCCUGACUCCUUGAGAGUCCUGAAGGAACGUUGAAGACGACGACGUUGAUAGGCCGGGUGUGUAAGCGCAGCGAUGCGUUGAGCUAACCGGUACUAAUGAACCGUGAGGCUUAACCUU